GGCGCAACCUGAGGCCACAGGCAGACGGAAUGGAUGUAUCGCUUUGGUAUCCCCUUCCGAGAGGAGCCCUCCCCAACUCCUCUGGGUAACUGUGGCUUUCCCCGCCGCUCCCUAAGCUGGCAGAGUCCCCCGCGGGGCCCUUCUGUGUCCCUCAGCACCCCCUGCUCAGCGCUGUGCCAUCGCUGUCCCCAUCCCGCUCUCCUCAAAGUCUGUCCCGGCUCAGAGCGCCCACAGCCCCGAGCGCGGCCUCACCCACGCACUGCACUCCUUCCCCUGCUCCCAUCUCCUCCUCCUUCCCGGCUCCGCGUCCCCAGCUGGGAGGACAGAGGACAACACCGCCUGCGCUCCCGAUCCCUUCCGCAUCGUUCCCGGGGACAAAAAGUCUCCCUGGAUAUUUCACCGUCUCCACCCCACAGCCUGACGCAGCCCCGCUUGGAAGGACAGCCAUGGGCAGAAGUCCCCCCUCACACUGAACCCCAUCUCCUCAUCCCAAGGAGAUCUGUGCUCCCCGGCUCCGUUUGCUGAUGGCUGCGCAGUUUCUGCACUCACCCAGCAGUGGCUCAGCACAGCGGCUCCUGCAGCACUUUGCACGGGGCUGUUUGUGGAGCAGCGCUAUCUGCGAUCCCAGCACUGCCCUCCUCCUGACGCUGCCUAUAAGAGCGCUGCUGAGCUGCACAGCGGUUCCAGCCCCGGCACUGCUGUGCAGGAGGAGAGCAGGAACAGCACGAGUGCAGCAGGCAGACCUGGGGACACAGCGCAGCGCUGUUUGGCCCCAAUAUCGAUCCCCAGGGAAGGUGAGUGGUUACCAGCUGGAUUGAAAACUCCAUUCCCCACCACUCUCUGGGCUCAGCCAUGCAGCCAGGUCUUUACCCAGCAAGGAGUGGAUCUGCCCAAGUCCCAGGCUGCCAGCUUCUCCAGGAGAAAGACAGAUUAAUUGGUAAAGCAAAACCAAAGCCUUCAGCUGAGCAGGAAUCACAGCUUCUUCAUCUCUGCCUUCAGCAACAGUGACCCACCAGGGUGGGUUUGGGGACCCUCGAAGAAUGCGUGAAAAAGAAACUCCUCAGCCUCAAAGUGCUGCUGUCAACAAGAAGGAAAGGGGAAGUGUCCCGUGAGUGUCUGUUGGGCUCCUGAAGGGAUAAUUACAGACUGCAAACCGCCUCCAUUGCUGUGGAAGGGAGAUUGGAAUGAGACAGCCGCUAUCCCGUCUCGAAUGCAGAUCUUGGUGGGCCAUAACGUGCCUGCCCAGCAAGGAUUUAUUGUACCAAUCUAUAACAUAAUCUGGUAUGACAUAUUAGUAAACAGCCCUUUAAAGAUAACCCCACUACCGCCAAUCGGUGCGUUGGGAAGGAUUGCCAAGCACUUACUGCUACACAGAAAUAAAACAGAGACCUCAGUCUGCA